UACAGAGGUCUCAAGCGUUGUUCGGAUUCAUUGGGCGUAAAGGGUGUGUAGGUGGCGCCGUAAGUCGGGUGUGAAAUCUCGGGGCUUAACUCCGAAACUGCAUUCGAUACUGCCGUGCUUGAGGACUGGAGAGGAGACUGGAAUUUACGGUGUAGCAGUGAAAUGCGUAGAUAUCGUAAGGAAGACCAGUGGCGAAGGCGAGUCUCUGGACAGUUACUGACGCUGAGGCACGAAGGCCAGGGGAGCAAACGGG
rnacentral:rRNA from 1 species